rnacentral:lncRNA from 1 species
UCAGUUCGAAAAUAAUGUGUUUUAGCGCCAGAAAGAGAGAGCGUCGUGCAAGAGAGAGAGGGGAGGGCGUGAGAGAGAGAUGAAAAUAAUGUUGUUAAUUGGGUUUAGAGGUGUUGGAGGGUAAAAUUAUCAUUUUACAUAAUAUAUAGUAUUACCGAUUUUCAGUAAUACAAGAUACACGACCCUCCUCUCGUUAAUAUUUUCGGUGUAAUCCUGCUCGAUUUGUAAUGCUACAUUAUUAACGACUAGAUUACAUAGCGGAUGAACCAAACAUAAUAAUUCUGGCAGGAUGCCAGGAUAUAUAACUCGAACCAAACGCACCAUUUCGAAGCUAAUGAAGCUACAUAGAUGG